rnacentral:rRNA from 1 species
AACGAACGCUGGCGGCAGGCUUAACACAUGCAAGUCGAACGCUCGUAGCAAUACGGGAGUGGCGGACGGGUGAGUAACGCGUGGGAACGUGCCCUGAGGUACGGAAUAACUGCGGGAAACUGCAGCUAAUACCGUAUGAGCCCCGUGAGGGGAAAGGAUUUAUCGCCUUAGGAGCGGCCCGCGUCGGAUUAGCUAGUUGGUGGGGUAACGGGCUUACCAAGGCUUCGAUCCGUAGCUGGUCUGAGAGGACGAUCAGCCACACUGGGACUGAGACACGGCCCAGACUCCUACGGGAGGCAGCAGUGGGGAAUCUUGCGCAAUGGGGGCGAACCCUGACGCAGCCAUGCCGCGUGAAUGAUGAAGGCCUUAGGGUUGUAAAGUUCUUUUGCCCGUGACGAUGAUGACGGUAACGGGAGAAUAAGCUCCGGCUAACUUCGUG